rnacentral:rRNA from 1 species
UGCGUAGGUGGCGAGGUAAGUCGGAUGUGAAAGCUCGGAGCUCAACUCCGAAAUGGCAUUGGAAACUACCUUGCUCGAGGGUUGGAGGGGGGACUGGAAUGCUUGGUGUAGCAGUGAAAUGCGUAGAUAUCAAGCGGAACACCAGUGGCGAAGGCGAGUCCCUGGACAACUCCUGACACUGAGGCACGAAAGCUAGGGAGCAAACA